rnacentral:rRNA from 1 species
UACGGAAGGCAGCAGUAAGGAAUAUUGGUCAAUGGACGCAAGUCUGAACCAGCCAUGCCGCGUGCAGGAAGACGGCCCUACGGGUUGUAAACUGCUUUUGUACCGGAAUAAACUUUGAUACGUGUAUCAAGCUGAAUGUACGGUAAGAAUAAGGAUUGGCUAACUCCGUGCCAGCAGCCGCGGUAAUACGGAGGAUCCAAGCGUUAUCCGGAUUUAUUGGGUUUAAAGGGUGCGUAGGUGGCCUAUUAAGUCAGGGGUGAAAGACGGUAGCUUAACUAUCGCAGUGCCUUUUGAUACUGAUGGGCUUGAAUACAGUUGAAGUGGGCGGAAUGUGACAAGUAGCGGUGAAAUGCAUAGAUAUGUCACAGAACACCGAUUGCGAAGGCAGCUCACUAAAGUGUGAUUGACACUGAGGCACGAAAGCGUGGGGAUCAAACAGGAUUAGGAAUAACC